AUUAGUUUGUGAUGACAAAUUAUCUUUCGCCCCUAACUGAAUGUUGGAAACUUCUAAUGUUGAAUGCGAAUUGAUUGGUCUUACUGAAUGUAUAUG
rfam:Stomoxys calcitrans breed 8C7A2A5H3J4 unplaced genomic scaffold Scaffold321, whole genome shotgun sequence.